rnacentral:tRNA from 1 species
CAAGAAGUAGCUUAACUACAAAGCCCUUAACUUACAAUUAAACCAUGCUCACCAUGAGCCUUCUUGA